rnacentral:ribozyme from 1 species
UGCCCAGCAGAUCCUAUCCCUACCUCCUCGUGGUACCGGCCGAAAACUACGAGCAACCUUAGGGUAGA